rnacentral:lncRNA from 10 species
CAAAGCCCACCUUGAAUGCUGCUUGUCGCUAAAGCCAUCGCUGGCAUUUCCAGACAUUGUCAAUAUCUACUGGACUAAAGAAAUUCUCUACUAAUCAGAAAAGGAAUUGGUCUGUAUUGAAGCUGGAAAGAAAAUCAGAGGAGCCAAUGCUGUCAGAGUGCAUCCAAGGACCAUUUAAAGAUGUCCUGGCCGGAGGUCUGGGCUGUCAGGUCCUGCCAGCAGGUAGAUUCCUUCCAGAGACAUUCCUUGACCUGAUACCAUCAAAUCACUUUAGUAGGACAAGUAACUUUCCUUAUUCUCAUUUCAUGCUUGCUAGACAACUGAUUAUACUUUAGUUUUGGAAGUAAAUUUCUUACAUGAAGGAAAUAA